rnacentral:rRNA from 1 species
AGAGUUUGAUCCUGGCUCAGGACGAACGCUGGCGGCACGCUUAACACAUGCAAGUCGAACGAGAGAAGAGGAGCCUGCUUUUCUGAUCUAGUGGCGGACGGGUGAGUAACACGUGAGCAAUCUGCCUUUCAGAGGGGGAUACCGAUUGGAAACGAUCGUUAAUACCGCAUAACAUAAUUGAACCGCAUGAUUUGAUUAUCAAAGAUUUAUCGCUGAAAGAUGAGCUCGCGUCUGAUUAGCUAGUUGGUAAGGUAACGGCUUACCAAGGCGACGAUCAGUAGCCGGACUGAGAGGUUGAUCGGCCACAUUGGGACUGAGACACGGCCCAGACUCCUACGGGAGGCAGCAGUGGGGAAUAUUGCACAAUGGAGGAAACUCUGAUGCAGCGAUGCCGCGUGGGGGAAGAGGGUUUUAGGAUUGUAAACCUCUGUCUUCAGGGACGAAAAAAGACAGUACCUGAGGAGGAAGCUCCGGCUAACUACGUGCCAGCAGCCGCGGUAAUACGUAGGGAGCGAGCGUUGUCCGGAAUUACUGGGUGUAAAGGGAGCGUAGGCGGGAUCGCAAGUCAGAUGUGAAAACUAUGGGCUUAACCCAUAAACUGCAUUUGAAACUGUGGUUCUUGAGUGAAGUAGAGGUAAGCGGAAUUCCUAGUGUAGCGGUGAAAUGCGUAGAUAUUAGGAGGAACAUCAGUGGCGAAGGCGGCUUACUGGGCUUUAACUGACGCUGAGGCUCGAAAGCGUGGGGAGCAAACAGGAUUAGAUACCCUGGUAGUCCACGCCGUAAACGAUGAUUACUAGGUGUGGGGGGACUGACCCCUUCCGUGCCGCAGCAAACGCAAUAAGUAAUCCACCUGGGGAGUACGACCGCAAGGUUGAAACUCAAAGGAAUUGACGGGGGCCCGCACAAGCAGUGGAGUAUGUGGAUUAAUUCGAAGCAACGCGAAGAACCUUACCAGGUCUUGACAUCGUAUGCAUAGCUCAGAGAUGAGUGAAAUCUCUUCGGAGACAUAUAGACAGGUGGUGCAUGGUUGUCGUCAGCUCGUGUCGUGAGAUGUUGGGUUAAGUCCCGCAACGAGCGCAACCCUUACUGUUAGUUGCUACGCAAGAGCACUCUAGCAGGACUGCCGUUGACAAAACGGAGGAAGGUGGGGAUGACGUCAAAUCAUCAUGCCCCUUAUGACCUGGGCCUCACACGUACUACAAUGGCUGUCAACAGAGGGAAGCAAAGCCGCGAGGUGGAGCGAACCCCUAAAAGCAGUCUUAGUUCGGAUUGUAGGCUGCAACCCGCCUACAUGAAGUCGGAAUUGCUAGUAAUCGCAGAUCAGCAUGCUGCGGUGAAUACGUUCCCGGGCCUUGUACACACCGCCCGUCACGCCAUGGGAGUCGGUAACACCCGAAGCCUGUAGUCUAACCGCAAGGAGGACGCAGUCGAAGGUGGGAUUGAUGACUGGGGUGAAGUCGUAACAAGGUA